rnacentral:rRNA from 1 species
AACGAACGCUGGCGGCAUGCCUAACACAUGCAAGUCGAACGAGACCUUCGGGUCUAGUGGCGCACGGGUGCGUAACGCGUGGGAACCUGCCCUUAGGUUCGGAAUAACUCCCCGAAAGGGGUGCUAAUACCGGAUAAUGUCUUCGGACCAAAGAUUUAUCGCCUUUGGAUGGGCCCGCGUUGGAUUAGCUAGUUGGUAGGGUAAAAGCCUACCAAGGCGACGAUUCAUAGCUGGUCUGAGAGGAUGAUCAGCCACACUGGGACUGAGACACGGCCCAGACUCCUACGGGAGGCAGCAGUGGGGAAUAUUGGACAAUGGGCGAAAGCCUGAUCCAGCAAUGCCGCGUGAGUGAUGAAGGCCUUAGGGUUGUAAAGCUCUUUUACCCGGGAUGAUAAUGACAGUACCGGGAGAAUAAGCUCCGGCUAACUCCGU